GCAUAGCUACCUCCUAUUCUGGACGAUCCUUGACUUCUUCAUAAUUUGCUGGUUCUUCGUCAUCUAAUGCUCCAGCAAAAAAACACGAGGUGACAGUACAAUUAUUGAGUUGAACCUCAUAAUCUUUGAAAUAAUUUGGCUGUCUUUUCUCCCUUGUUGAUCUCCUUACUAUUUGCUGCUCAUUAUCAUCUGAAUUUGAG
rnacentral:lncRNA from 1 species